UACGGAGGAUGCAAGCGUUAUCCGGAAUGAUUGGGCGUAAAGCGUCCGCAGGUGGCUAUGUAAGUCUGCUGUUAAAGAGUGAGGCUCAACCUCAUAAAAGCAGUGGAAACUACAUGGCUAGAGUGCGUUCGGGGCAGAGGGAAUUCCUGGUGUAGCGGUGAAAUGCGUAGAUAUCAGGAAGAACACCGGUGGCGAAAGCGCUCUGCUAGGCCGCAACUGACACUGAGGGACGAAAGCUAGGGGAGCGAAAGGG
rnacentral:rRNA from 1 species